GAAAUGCGAUAAGUAAUGUGAAUUGCAGAAUUCAGUGAAUCAUCGAAUUUUUGAACGCACAUUGCGCCCGCCAGUAUUCUGGCGGGCAUGCCUGUCCGAGCGUCAUUUCAACCAUCAAGCCCCCGGGCUUGUGUUGGGGACCUGCGGCUGCCCGCAGGCCCUGAAAACCAGUGGCGGGCUCGCUGUCACACCGAGCGUAGUAGCAAUCACCUCGCUCAGGGCGUGCUGCGGGUUCCGGCCGUUAAACAGCCUUACAAAACCCAAGGUUGACCUCGGAUCAGGUAGGAAGACCCGCUGAACUUAAGC
rnacentral:misc_RNA from 1 species